AAGGUGUGUUGCAUUGCAAUACGAUCAAUACAAUUGAAGCAUGAUACUGAGGGCAUGAAACAUAAAUGAUCAGCGUACUGGGUUAUGGCCUGCUUACCCUUUCUGACAAAUUGUGAACCUCGGCGGUGCGGCUCCGCUUCAUGCUUCUGUUAGUAGAUCUUAGCAAUGCGCCGGACUCGUCGUCAAGAUCCUGAAGGUAACCAAUUUCACUAUAAGCACUAGAAGGUGGUAUAUCAGCUCCAGUGUACUGAGCGUUGCAUGUCGUUUACUUACCUCAUCUUGACUAGCUGAACACUCUGCCUGGAUCUUUCGCUUCUGCUGGUGCCAGGGUUCAUCGUUCACAAUACCGUUGCCAGAGCACACAGAGGAAGUUGUGACCGUAGCAUCAGGUGCCUUUCUUGCAGCAUCCUUGUGCACAACCCUAUUAUUGCUAAGCUUGUCACGAGCCAUCUCUUGCUGCAGGUUACCGACCGAGGCCGUGAGGGCAGGUGCCGGCGCGAACCGCACCUCCUUUUGCUGCGGCCACGCCGCCCUCUG
rnacentral:lncRNA from 1 species